AUUUGGAUUCCCAGCGAAGCCGCGCCGCCAGGUAGGGAAGAGAUGCUCGGCGGGAGGAUUGGGGAUGAUCUCAUCGCCGCUGCGCUGAUGCUCCAUUCUCACCAGAUCCUCUGAGGCUGAGCGCUGGCUGCAUUCUACGCUACUCCAUCUUAGGGUUUGUGCCGCGAUCAGCAUCGAUUCCUCUGCCGACUGCAUCGCCUGGUCGAAUGGCGGAGGCAGAGAUCGAAGAGCUGCUAGAUUUCGAUGGCUCGGACUACGAAUUUGGAUCCGAUGAAGGAGCCGGCGAGGAGGAGGAUGUAGAUUAUCGUGUAGUUGGGGAGGAUGCCAGUAUGGGGCAGGACGAUGCAGCAGAUCCGGUGGAAGGGCAGGCCAUGGGCAUGGAUUCUCUCGAAAUAUCGGGGUCCGUAGAACCGCAGAGAGAGCCGGAUCGUGCUAUCGAAAGAGGGAGAAGAAUGCCAGAGUCCAGGAGUACUAGGCAUUCUUCAAAGACUGAUCUGGAGGACGGCGAGUUCUUCGACAUGGCUCCCAUGGUGAAUAGCAAGAAGCAAGCUGAACACGGCGUGGUGAAGGAUGGUAAACUUUCAAGGAAGCAACACUCCAACGAGACCAUGCGAGCCUUAUCAGAUCGUGAGGCAGAGAGAAACACGGGCUCCCGGCAAGACAGGAAACGACGACGGGAACAUGACUACGAAAGGCACCAGUACAGCAGCCCCCGGAGCCGAAAGCAACCUCACGAGAGAUAUACGGGAAGAUAUGAUCGGCCCCAUGGGGGUGACAGACGAUACGAUCGCGUUGGAGACUUUCCCGAUUCUAGGAUCCGAGGACCCCCGUUUUACCGCCCCAAUUAUUCUCCCGGAAUCAUGGGUCCGGGAAGACCCGACAUGAACCAUGUUCGUGCAUGUACUGCCGGUUUAGAAAUCUUCUCGCCGGCCCAGUUGCAAGAACUCUUAAACCAGGAACACAUGCUCCGAUCUCAGCAAAUGCUGCAUUUGGCAAGGCUUGGUAUCCGACCUCCUCCUGGCCAACCAAUGUACCCUUUAAUGGGUCCUAAUGAUUUUCGGCCUCCGUUGCAGCCUAUGGGAUCCGACAUAACUUCUCGGAUGAACUUCAUGGGGGGACCUCUCGGAGUCCAAGGCCCCCGAUCGUGUUAUCCUCCAACGGGACGCGGCCCAGGCAUCCUCGGUGGUGCUGGUGCAUUUGGUUUCGCAAGACCUCCUAGGAAUGAGGCGUUGGCUCUUGGUUCCGGGAGGGUCCAACCGCGUCCGAGCACAGCCAAUGCACAAGUUGAGAAUGGAAAGCACCCUGGCAGAAGUGUUCCGUCAACAAAGCAUGAACAAGAUUCGCCUCGGAGGAACGAUAGGGACCGGGAGCCAGAGUCAAGAUCUAAAAGAACAGCGAGCACUUUUGACGCAAGGUUGGAACGCGACAACAGGGAGAAGUGUAGCAAAGGAAGCGAUCCCGCGGGAAACUUAAUCCAUCUUGGCGGGCCCGUCCAGAAAAGCAGGGUCUUGACAGUCGGUGGCUUGCUCGAGAACACGCCAAUGUCGACUGUCGCUGACGCGUUUGAAAAACAAGGCAAGAUUCUUGAUUUCCGAAAGAAUCAAACCGGCGACGUUUUCACGAUAACUUUCUCGAGUGUGCAAGAGGCCGUGUCUGCCAAAAGGCACCUGCACAGGUCUAUGCUCGCAGGGCGACAGAUUACUGUAGAGUAUGCAGUGGUGUGAUGAAAGAGCGAAGGAAUCGCGGCGGAGGAAAGAGCUCUCUCUCUCUCUCUCUUUCUCUCCCGGCGGAUUGUGUUUAUCCCAGACAGCCACUCUCUGGGAAGACAACCGGGAAAGAGAGAAAGCGAAGAUGAAGAACAGAGAAAAGAAAAAGAAAGAGAGGCCUCCCUCGAGAGAAACUGUGCUCGAUGGGGGCAUGUCCGAACUAGGUCAACACGUCAACACGCCAAACUACCACCUUUUCUUCUUUUUCUCAUGAGCGAAUUAGGUCAACACGUUAAUCUGCCACCUUUUUCUCCGUUCAAAGCUAAUGAUGGUCUCUCAUUCAACACGACAUUGGUCUCUGCU